GUCCACUUGCUGGUGCAACUCGAGUUCCAGGACAAGCGCUCCGUGGUUCCUGCGCUCCAGGUAUAACCCGUGGUGGAUAGCGGUGGUCGUUGGAGGUGGUUAGCGGUGGUUGAAGAGGGUCGAAGGUGAACAAGGGGAAGGACGACGAGGAAGACGAGGAGAACGAGAUGGACAAAGAUGACGAAGAUUUGUGCACGUAUUCGAGGUAUAACCCGAGGUGGUUUGCAGUGGUCAUUGGAGGUGGUUGGCGGUGGUUGCGGCCGAUAGAGGUGGACGAGAAGGAGGAGGAUCAGAAUUAAAGUAGAAGAAGGAUCAGGAGUAGGAACAGGAGUAGGAGUAGGACUAGGUGUAGGAUCAAGAGUGGAAGUGGGAGUGGGAGUGGGAGUACCCUACCCCACCCUACCCUUCCCGCCCCUACCCUCCUCCUAUACUCCUACUUCUACUUCAAUCUUACUCCUACUUCUACUACGAUCUUACUCCAACUCCUGAUCCUACUUCUAUUCCUACUCCUACUCCUGAUCCCGCUCCUAUUCCUACUCCUAAUUCUGAAUAAUAAUGUUAUGGAAUGUAUAAACUGCAUGUCGAAUUGAAUCCCAUAUCGAAACGAACAAUUCUUUUAUUGUC